GGGGCUGACUUUGGUUUUGACAGCAGGUAGAAUGGCGCUGUAAGCAUGUCGAGCGUUGCACGGAGUGCUCGUUAAAGAAAAUGUGCGAACCAAUUAAAUGGCGAAAAUACUUUUGCUCUCGCUGCUUAAUUAGCCUUGUCUAGUCGAGCUUAAUCCAUGCGCAUGAGUCGCGUGGACGAGAUGUCUCACGGGAAGCACUAGUCCUGUUGCGUCCCGGUUCGAGGCACCGGAAAUACAGGAAUAGGUGUGCGGGCGUUCCGACUGUACACUGAAACUUUAGGAACUAGGGUAGGUAUUGGGUGUCUCCGUCCGUUGCCUACUCAACAAUCAAUCGGAGGCUAAGCAUGUAGAAAGCAACGGUAUUCCUUGUUUGGACGCGGGUUCGAUUCCCGCCAGCUCCACU
rnacentral:tmRNA from 1 species